AACGCGAAGAACCUUACCUACCUUUGAAUCCACGGAAUUUCACAGAGAUGUGGAAGUGCCUUCGGGAACCGUGAGACAGGUGCUGCAUGGCUGUCGUCAGCUCGUGUCGUGAGAUGUUGGGUUAAGUCCCGUAACGAGCGCAACCCUUGUCCUUAGUUACCAUCAAGUAAAGUUGGGUACUUUAAGGAGACUGCCGGUGAUAAACCGGAGGAAGGUGGGGAUGACGUCAAGUCCUCAUGGCCCUUACAGGUAGGGCUACACACGUGCUACAAUGGCCGGUACAAAGGGUUGCCAACCCGCGAGGGGGAGCUAAUCUCAAAAAGCCGGUCGUAGUCCGGAUUGGAGUCUGCAACUCGACUCCAUGAAGCUGGAAUCGCUAGUAAUCGCGGAUCAGAACGCCGCGGUGAAUACGUUCCCGGGCCUUGUACACACCGACGCAC
rnacentral:rRNA from 1 species